UUUCGGGCAGGGAAGGAGAGAAAAGGGAAAAGAGGGUUUCGGGAAGAAGAAAGAAAGGAAGAGAGGAAGAAAAUGGAAAGGAGAAGAGAAAGAAGGGAAGAGAAAGAGGGAAUCUGGGAGAGUAAGGGAGGAAGAGAGAAACUGGAAAAAGGAAAAAAAACAAGAAAAGAAAGGAAAAGGAGAGAUAAUAACGGGAAAAAAAACUUUCUUCACCAGGCUGACGAGCAAUCCUAAUUCUGGACCAAAGUUAGGCUUCGAUUCUAACUUUUUUAGGGAUGUUGUGGUUUCUGCACCUUCUUGGGAGACAGUAGAAGGAAUUUUGUUCACAAAUUUCUGGGAGAAAACUGCUCUAAGCUAGCCAGAUCGUGACCCAAAGCGCUGCUCUCGUCAGUGUUGAAAUUUUCUGCAGCAACCUUCUUGAACUUCGUUUCCAGAUUGGCGUGAUCUUUUGGACGACUUUCACGUUCGAUCUUCUUUGCAAAGGUUCCAAGGUAACCUUAGCUUCUCCCUUUUGUUGCUUUAAUACCAUUUUUUAUGAGAAUCCAAGCGCAUAAGCUGUGAAUCUUGAGUUGUUUUGCUGUAGUCGAUGCUCGAGCCGUGACUGAGCCAUUAUCUUUUAGAUCCUCAUGUACACCAGUUAAACGUUUGUCUUGUUAGUCUUUGACAUGUUUAGGAGAGGAAACUGAAAGAAUCAUGCAGCUAAUCUCGCGACUUUGCAUCAAAAUCUUCAUUUUUCUUCCCUUGUUAUCUUGCGGUUCUCUUGUUUGAAACCUGAGUUGCAUAAUCUUGUGUUGGGUUUGGAGUUUUUGUGGCUGGUUGCCUUAUUAUUGAAUCUAGCCUUUGUAUUUCAUGGAAAAAGGUUUUAUUUUUCUUUUCUACACAAGAUUAAAUGAUGGUUUGAUGUUGGGUUAGUAAAAAAUGCUGCUUUUGUUGUUCGUAGUAGUAAUACAGAAGGUUGCAAAAGUUUUCCAGAAUUGUAUGUUCCCAUUCUGAGUUUUUGGGCUUGUUUGGAUGUUGAAUUUCUGUGCUUUGUUGCUUAGAUUAAAGUUUUGGUGUUUGGUUGAGAUUUUAUGCGAAGGGAAGUUUGCUUCAUGAAACCCAGAAGAAAAUUGCAAAGGCUUUCAGUUGCAGAACAAUGAAGAAGAAAGCCUCUUCGAAGAUGCAUGAAAAUUUUUCCAAAAAUUACAUUUUAACCCCUCAAGUUUUCCUUUAUUUCACUAUGACCCAAAACUAGAGAAAAUCAAUCAAAUUUACUUUUUUUUUAAAAAAAAAUUCAAUCAAUCUUUUAAUGUUUUAACCAUGUUUUAGACAAAGUCAUUUUCUGGUUUUAGGAGAUAAUUAGAACUUAAUUAGUCUUAAGAGCUUUAUUUUACUUUGAUUUCACUCCCUAAUAUUUGUAAUAAUAAUUUGACCCCUUAAAACUUUUAUAAUUGUUUCGAUUAGGUCUUUGUUUGUUUUAAAUUCUUGAAUAUAGGUUGUUUACUUUCAUUUAAAUGCUUUAAUUGUUCAAUUUCAUAAUCAUUUCCAUUUCUUUACAUGUUGUUGCUUUUGUUUGUUAAUUAAAUGGUACUUUGACCAUGUUUGUUGUUUUAGAGGGUAAAUAGGAGAAAUUUCAUUUCAUUAGAUCACCAAUUCAAGAGAGGUACACUUUACUCCUUAUUUUGAGUUUACUUGAUCCUAUGUGCUCCUAUGUGAUUUUAUGUGCUUAAUUGCUUGCUUUUUGAAUGUUUUUUUAUUUAUUUUAUUUUAUUUAUUUGUUUAUUCACUUUACUUGUUUUUAAUUUUGUAUAUUUAUUUUAAUUUAAUUUUUGAUUAUUUGAGAGGCAAUUAAAUGCCAAAUUGUAAUAGUUAGAUUAUUAUUUUAUUUCAUUUCAUUCUUUACCCCCCUUUAGAUUGUAGUUAGGGUCCCAAAUGUAAUAGUUAGGUCUAUAUUUGCUUGUGUGUGCUUGUAUGCUUGUGUGCUUACGUGUUUACUCGUUUUCUUAGGGUCUUUGCAUCUAGAUAUCAUGCUUACGUGCUAUGUGCUUAUGUGAUUUGGUUGUUUACUUGCUUUUAUUAUAUUUUUAUAUGAUUCAUUUAAUUAUAAAUAAAUGCAUGACGUCACCACACUAGUCCAACGCUAGUUGUGACCCUAUUUCCUCGAUUUCUCGCUAGUCCAACACUAGUGAGAAUUUAGAUGAAUGGGUUAGUCCAACGCUAGACCCUUAGGGACCGUCUACGUGUUAGAUCAUGUUUGUGUGACAAAUCGCUACAUUUCAUGUAUAUUUUCUAGGAUCUUUAUCACUUUUAUAUGAUAUUUCCCUAUGUAUAAAACAUAACAUUUAGAUUUGCAUCUCAUUUAGAAAAAUUAGAAAUAGGUUAGAUUAUUUGCCUGACCAAAAUUAGGAGAAUUUGUGAAAACUCGAAAAAAUUUUUUUUAUAUGUACGCUAUGAAUUUCUUUUAUUCUAAUUACUUUGAUAUUAGAAAUAUUAUAACGAAUAAAUGGUUAAAUUAAAUGCCUAAUUGAAUUUAUAUAAAAAUUGAGAAUUUAGAAAUAUCCUAAAAUGGUGCAAAAUAUAUAUAUAUAUAUAUAUAUAUAUAUAUAUAUAUAUAUAUAUAUGAAUCAAAUAAACAUAUGAUAUGCAUAUUGUAAUUUGAGCAAUUUGAAUAUAUUAUAUAGUUGAAUAAGUUACAUGACUAAUUAAUUUUCCUUAAAGCCAAAUGUGUGGAAAUCUACUAAAUUGAUAUAAGCGAAAAUUUUCAAGGUACAUAUAAAUUAGAACAAACGAAAUUUUGAGUCAACGUGUGAGACAAUAAAAUUAUGGCCUCGUAGCAAAUAAAUGAACUAAAAUUAAAGGACCGAACUAAUCUUGGGGAUUCGGUUAAACUACCAUGCAAUUAAGGAACAAGCUACUAGAAUUUUGACAAAACAGGAACCGAAUGGAAGCAAGGCAACUAUCUGCUGUCUAAACGGUGGAAAGGAAAAAGGAGUAGGAGUUGUUUGAUAAUUGGGCGGUGGGAAACCGUUAUUUGGACAGCUGCCAGGAAGGAACUUACCACCGAAACUGCUGAGUAAGCAGCGACCGAAUGAGAGGAACUUGGAAUGAUUAGCCACCGAAUGGAGGAACAUUGAGUGAUCAGCUGAGUGAAGAAGUACGCUUAAUUCUCUUCCUACCAACCAAGCAUUAGGAACAAAACUGAGAGAGAGAGAUUCGGUCACACCCAUUUUAUCUCAAAAACCCAAUCGAGUGAGAGGAAAAGAAAACAGAGAACGAAGCUUUCUUUCUUCUUCAUACCCAAAACCGUGAGAAAGAGUGAGAGUGAAGAAGCAUUUCUAGUUCCUUCUAGCCACAACCGAGUGAGUAAGAGAGCUGAGUGAGUGAUAAGAGGAGGAAGCUAACUUAGAAUUUCACAUAUCAGCUACCAUAGUGAGGAGGAACCGAAGCUAGGAGCAGGAGCAAUCUGCCACUAGUAAAACUUAGCAGAAAAAGGUAAGAAUCUUGUAACCACCCUUUUAUUUCUUGAAUAUAACUGAAUAUAUGGGCUUCAUGUUAGUUUAGCAAGGAAUAAUAAGUUUUAACCGAAGGAAGAUCUGAUAAAGAAGAAAAAUUGGAACUGGACUGAAGUUGUAGGAAGUAGGAACCGAGAGUUGUUGUUUGUUGCUGCAGCUUGUUAACCGAAAGUAUGGGGUAAUUUUCUGCUAGAAGCUUAAACUAUAUGUUAUUUCCUUGUCUUACCUGAGUAACUAGAGUAGAGUUGAUAGCUUGAGUGAAAACUUUGCUAAGAUUAGCUGGUAGUUUCUAUCUAGUUGGCUAAGAGAGGAAAUACGAAAUUUUCCAGAUUUCUUGACAGAUUUUGGGUUCCAAAUUCUUACGUUGAAGCUUAAUACCCUGCAUAAUAGUUUAGUCUCAGCAUGCAUGUUAGAUUGAGUGGGAAAUGAAGUAGAUAAUAGAGAAAUGUCUUGCUUUAAAAAACUGAGUUGCUGCCAAAACUUUUCCAGCAUGGCUGAAAGAGAGAGUUACACUUCAGAUCAGCCUUUCUUUCGAAGUUCAGCUGUAAAAUUUUAUACUUGCUGUUCAAGAUUACUUUGUAGCUUGCUAAUUAUGUUUUGCAUGUUGAGUUGAAGUUAAAACUGAAGAAAAUGUGAAGAACGAACCGAAUAAUUAACUGUCUUAUGGCUGAAGGUUUACUUAGCUAAUGACAGAAUUAGUUGUGGCUUUUGGGUUGAAUAAUCCGUUGAAACUAGAUGCUAAUUGCUUUGGUAUAUGCUGGAAUGAAUGUAACUUAAGUAUAUGGAGAUUUAAGCAAGUGAAAGAAUAGAGUAUUUGCUUAAAAGCUUGAAAUAACAUUACUGGAAAUUUGUGAUUUGUCUGUCUAGUUGGGGCAUGAAAGUGAAAGGAAAGACUUGAGAAAACAACAAAUGUUGGACCGUUACACUGCUAGAAAAUUUAGUUGGGGAAUGCUAUAGCUGAUAACAGCUUUUGUAUGUGAUUUUGGCCGAAUAACAUGCUGAAAUUAUGAGUUAUUCACCUUAGUUCAUGUUGAACAGAAUGUAUACUAAGUGACUAAUAUUUGAGUAAGUGAAAGAUGGAAUUUGUUGAAGAUUUAGAAACAUUUGAUCCAAAAUUCUUGCUUUGGCUGACCGAAUGUGUGAAGAGAUGAAGCUCUCAUGAAACUUUUGAAAAUUUAUGUUAAAUGGUUGUGAAUUUAUAUGGAGCAUCUUAUAGUAUCUUGAAACUAUUUUAUGAGUAUUUUAAAGAACUUAAAACUGAAAAAUUAGUAAAAUUUAAACGAGAUUUAAACUAUUGGCAACUUGGAGUCUAGUUUAAUCCAAAAAGAAAAGAAUGAAAAGGCAAUUUGCCUUAAUCUUAGAAUAUUGGAUAGAAAAUGGUUUAAUCUUAGGUUAAACGUUUUAUAAGACUAUAAACUUGGUAUAUGUAUAAUUCUUGAUUAAAACAAUUAAGUCAAUAAGUUUCAAAAUAAAAUGAUAAAUGAAUAUUGAAUAUAUUAUAUUUGUACUUUAAAGUCAAACUUGAUUUUAAUAGUUCAAGUGAUAAAGUAAGAACAAUAAGUAAACAUCUACAAACUAUGUAUUUGAUUUGGAAUUAUUAACUUGUCCAGGAAGUAGCUGUGAACCAGAAAACCGACUCGAGACUCGAGAGUAAUUUAUUUGGAUAUUUGGUGAGUGUUUUCCAAAUUUAUGUGUUAAACUGCUUAUGUUUACCUAAGUGCAAUUAUAUGGCAAAUGUGCUUAUUAUGAAAUAUUGCUAAGUGAUUUAUUGCUAAGUGUAUCUCAAUUGUCCCUCGCCUUUUAAGUCGAGUGUGUACUUUAUCGCACUCGGUUUAGUUGAGUUUGAAAGUUGAUAAUUGAUCAAGUGAUAUUGUAAGUAUGCAUGACUGUAAGCCGUGUGUGCACUUUAUCACACUGGCUGAACUGGGCUCCGAAACCCUUUGUUCAACGGACUAUUCGAGCUAGCAAAAGGGGCUCGGUCGGAUAGGACGGUAGCUUUGGGUAAGUGUAUUGGUAUGCUCGAGUAUUACCACGGAGUAGCAGAUUACUGAUAUUGAUAUGGCCAUCCAAGUGAGGGAAGUGUUUAUUGUUUUGGAGGUUAUAAGGAGGAGUUCGGCGGAGUGUGUAGUGCAUUGAAGUGGCUCUAAUGCGAGCACCGUAUCCUUUUAAAAGUGAUUGUUCAGUGAAGUGUUUCCUCAAUUGCUAAUGAAAGUGAUUGUACAGUGAAAUGUGCACUACUUGCUUAAUUGUAUUGAUUCAUGUGAUUAUUAAAUGUCACUUGCAUGAAAACCUCACGGGCGUAAGCUCACCCUUUUAGGUUUGUUUUCCUUACAGGAGUCAGAGAUUGAAUAGUGAUUGGAUGGAACUAGAAAGUUAUUUUGGGAAGAUCCGUUAUUCUGUGUAUAUAGUGUAGGCAUGGUCUCUUUUGAAUUUUGAAACGGUUGAAUUUUUGUUUGAGUUGGUGUGAUAUUAAGAAUGGAUAUUUAGAAUAGGUAUUUUGUUUCUUUUAUUGGACAAAUUUAUGUUUCAAAUUGAUUGAAGAUGUACUUAAGAGUGAAUGUUCAGUUGUCCAAUGGUAAUGUUAUCUCUGAAGUUAAUGUGAGUAAGUGAGCCCUGGCGAGAGUCAGGCAGGCGAUCCGCUAAUUUCUAGGGUAUGCCCUAGGAGAAUGUGGGGUCGUUACAGAAUUAACCCUUUAA
rnacentral:lncRNA from 1 species